CUACGUGCCAGCAGCCGCGGUAAUACGUAGGUGGCAAGCGUUGUCCGGAAUUAUUGGGCGUAAAGCGCGCGCAGGCGGAUUGGUCAGUCUGUCUUAAAAGUUCGGGGCUUAACCCCGUGAUGGGAUGGAAACUGCCAAUCUAGAGUAUCGGAGAGGAAAGUGGAAUUCCUAGUGUAGCGGUGAAAUGCGUAGAUAUUAGGAAGAACACCAGUGGCGAAGGCGACUUUCUGGACGAAAACUGACGCUGAGGCGCGAAAGCCAGGGGAGCGAACGGGAUUAGAUACCCCGGUAGUCCUGGCCGUAAACGAUGGGUACUAGGUGUAGGAGGUAUCGACCCCUUCUGUGCCGGAGUUAACGCAAUAAGUACCCCGCCUGGGGAGUACGACCGCAAGGUUGAAACUCAAAGGAAUUGACGGGGGCCCGCACAAGCGGUGGAGUAUGUGGUUUAAUUCGACGCAACGCGAAGAACCUUACCGGGUCUUGACAUUGAUGGACAGAACUAGAGAUAG
rnacentral:rRNA from 1 species